rnacentral:rRNA from 1 species
AUUGAACGCUGGCGGCAUGCUUUACACAUGCAAGUCGAACGGCAGCACGGGCUUCGGCCUGGUGGCGAGUGGCGAACGGGUGAGUAAUGCAUCGGAACGUACCGUGUAAUGGGGGAUAACGUAGCGAAAGUUACGCUAAUACCGCAUACGCCCUGAGGGGGAAAGCGGGGGAUCGUAAGACCUCGCGUUAUACGAGCGGCCGAUGUCGGAUUAGCUAGUUGGUGGGGUAAAGGCCUACCAAGGCGACGAUCCGUAGCGGGUCUGAGAGGAUGAUCCGCCACACUGGGACUGAGACACGGCCCAGACUCCUACGGGAGGCAGCAGUGGGGAAUUUUGGACAAUGGGCGCAAGCCUGAUCCAGCCAUGCCGCGUGAGUGAAGAAGGCCUUCGGGUUGUAAAGCUCUUUCAGACGGAAAGAAAUCGCGCGCUCUAACAUAGCGUGUGGAUGACGGUACCGUAAGAAGAAGCACCGGCUAACUACGUG